CGAAUCUGGCAUUGGAUCGCAGGGCUGACCCGGGCACCAGCAGCGCUGAUUCACCGACCCCGCCUCGGACCUGUUGCCGGAACCUGUCUCCGGAAAGCACUGGAAUCGUGAGGCUGUACACCCCGCCCUAAGCGCUGGCCAAUUACUCCCUCAUGCGAGUGUAUUUUAACAGCUCACAAACUUCCUGUACCUGCAGACUGACGCCGAAUUCUGAGAUUUGUUUGACAUCUCUUUCAGAGUCUUUCCUUCCCUUUUAAUUCUAGAGGAAAACAUUCAAAAAGAAUACUUCCUAUUCAAGACGGCUGUAAAUGAUGUUUUUGUGUGUGUGGUACCACUAUAAAUGUACGUAGAACAGAACUAAAAUUUUUAAGAAUUGUUCCUUAAGCUAUCUGAGACCCAAGUUAACGCUGUUAAUAUACUGAGAGCUCCAUUUUAAAAAACUGAAAUAAAACUCUUGGUAAAUUGA